CCCUUAGAUGUCCUGGGCCGCACGCGCGCUACACUGACAUGUUCAACAAGUUUCUCCUAGUUCGACAGGACUGGGAAAUCUUUGAACGCAUGUCGUGAUAGGGAUAGAUCAUUGCAAUUAUUGAUCUUGAACGAGGAAUUCCUAGUAAACGCGAGCCAUCAGCUCGCAUUGAUUACGUCCCUGCCCUUUGUACACACCGCCCGUCGCACCUACCGAUUGAAUGUUUCGGUGAAGAUUCCGGAUAGGACUGAUUUGAUUUAUUUCAUUUCUGACCUAAAAGCUAUCUAAACCUCAACAUUUAGAGGAAGGUGAAGUCGUAACA
rnacentral:rRNA from 1 species